rnacentral:lncRNA from 1 species
GAGGGAGGCAGGUCAGGGUUUUGCCCGCUGAAUGAUACACCCUAUGACGGAUUCCGGUGUUUUGAUGAUGGGGGGGGGGGGACUAACAACAAUUCUUUGGGCAAAACUGAAAGAACUGACCAGACACAAUGGCUUCAAAUGAUUCCUCUCAUCAACACGCAUUUGAGGAUGGAGCAACUAUUACCUACAAGCCAGGGCGGGAUCAGCCAGCGGCGGCGUCCCGCAUGUGCGAUUCAUUUGCAGUCUGGACGCGGAAGGGUGAACAUCUCCUGCUCUGACUGCAGCUGGGAGGGACUGCUGCGCGAGGACUGGGCCGGAUGACAAUGACCCAAAACACACCUCCAGGCUGUGUAAGGGCUAUUUGACCAAGGAGAGUGAUGG